rnacentral:rRNA from 1 species
GACGAACGCUGGAGGCGUGCUUAACACAUGCAAGUCGAACGGAAAGGCCCUGCUUUUGUGGGGUGCUCGAGUGGCGAACGGGUGAGUAACACGUGAGUAACCUGCCCUUGACUUUGGGAUAACUUCAGGAAACUGGGGCUAAUACCGGAUAGGAGCUCCUGCUGCAUGGUGGGGGUUGGAAAGUUUCGGCGGUUGGGGAUGGACUCGCGGCUUAUCAGCUUGUUGGUGGGGUAGUGGCUUACCAAGGCUUUGACGGGUAGCCGGCCUGAGAGGGUGACCGGCCACAUUGGGACUGAGGUACGGCCCAGACUCCUACGGGAGGCAGCAGUGGGGAAUAUUGCACAAUGGGCGGAAGCCUGAUGCAGCAACGCCGCGUGCGGGAUGACGGCCUUCGGGUUGUAAACCGCUUUCGCCUGUGACGAAGCGUGAGUGACGGUAAUGGGUAAAGAAGCACCGGCUAACUACGUGCCAGCAGCCGCGGUGAUACGUAGGGUGCGAGCGUUGUCCGGAUUUAUUGGGCGUAAAGGGCUCGUAGGUGGUUGAUCGCGUCGGAAGUGUAAUCUUGGGGCUUAACCCUGAGCGUGCUUUCGAUACGGGUUGACUUGAGGAAGGUAGGGGAGAAUGGAAUUCCUGGUGGAGCGGUGGAAUGCGCAGAUAUCAGGAGGAACACCAGUGGCGAAGGCGGUUCUCUGGGCCUUUCCUGACGCUGAGGAGCGAAAGCGUGGGGAGCGAACAGGCUUAGAUACCCUGGUAGUCCACGCUGUAAACGGUGGGUACUAGGUGUGGGGUCCAUUCCACGGGUUCCGUGCCGUAGCUAACGCUUUAAGUACCCCGCCUGGGGAGUACGGCCGCAAGGCUAAAACUCAAAGGAAUUGACGGGGCCCCGCACAAGCGGCGGAGCAUGCGGAUUAAUUCGAUGCAACGCGUAGAACCUUACCUGGGUUUGACAUGGAUCGGGAGUGCUCAGAGAUGGGUGUGCCUCUUUUGGGGUCGGUUCACAGGUGGUGCAUGGCUGUCGUCAGCUCGUGUCGUGAGAUGUUGGGUUAAGUCCCGCAACGAGCGCAACCCUUGUUCACUGUUGCCAGCACGUUAUGGUGGGGACUCAGUGGAGACCGCCGGGGUCAACUCGGAGGAAGGUGGGGAUGACGUCAAGUCAUCAUGCCCCUUAUGUCCAGGGCUUCACGCAUGCUACAAUGGCUGGUACAGAGAGUGGCGAGCCUGUGAGGGUGAGCGAAUCUCGGAAAGCCGGUCUCAGUUCGGAUUGGGGUCUGCAACUCGACCUCAUGAAGUCGGAGUCGCUAGUAAUCGCAGAUCAGCAACGCUGCGGUGAAUACGUUCCCGGG